rnacentral:rRNA from 1 species
GAUGAACGCUGGCGGCGUGCCUAAUACAUGCAAGUCGAGCGAACAGACGAGGAGCUUGCUCCUCUGACGUUAGCGGCGGACGGGUGAGUAACACGUGGAUAACCUACCUAUAAGACUGGGAUAACUUCGGGAAACCGGAGCUAAUACCGGAUAAUAUAUUGAACCGCAGGGUUCAAUAGUGAAAGACGGUUUUGCUGUCACUUUUAGAUGGAUCCGCGCCGCAUUAGCUAGUUGGUAAGGUAACGGCUUACCAAGGCAACGAUGCGUAGCCGACCUGAGAGGGUGAUCGGCCACACUGGAACUGAGACACGGUCCAGACUCCUACGGGAGGCAGCAGUAGGGAAUCUUCCGCAAUGGGCGAAAGCCUGACGGAGCAACGCCGCGUGAGUGAUGAAGGUCUUCGGAUCGUAAAACUCUGUUAUUAGGGAAGAACAAAUGUGUAAGUAACUAUGCACGUCUUGACGGUACCUAAUCAGAAAGCCACGGCUAACUACGUG